ensembl:lncRNA
GUUGUGCUGGGAGCUGAGCGCAGGAACACCGAAGGGCGGUUCGAUGGCAGGCAGCUUCACCCUGUGCCACUGCCAACCACCAGCAUUGCUUUCUCCUCACGGGAGGGCAGCAUGGCCACAGCAGUGGCACAAAACCGGCAUGCUGAGACCAGCCACAACUUCCUCUCUCAGUGUUGAAGAGGCAAAAACCCCUCGGGGUUGCAUGGGUGCUGGAGGCAAUGGGUGAACCACCACAGAUUGUGGUCAUGAAGAUUUUUGGGGGACCUGUAGACACCUGUGAGGAGAAAAUGCAGUCUCACCUGCUAUCCCUAAGGAAGGUGUUGGCAGAGUUUCUAGACUGGAGAGUGAAGGCAGUUUCUAGACUGGAGAGUGAGCAAAGAGAAGCAUCAUCGGGACUACCUGGAGACGAGCAAGGCUGAGCGGCUCCGCAUCGAGGCCAAGUUCGAGUGGCUGUGCCACUGGAACAGAAGCAUGUGGUCCUGGGGUGGCUGGUGGAGCUGAAUGACUCCUUCACAGCUGCCCAGGCCAAAAAAUCAUCGCAGGUGGCUGAGGGGAUCACACAGCUCCAUGGGCUCAUGGGGCAGCUGGAAGCCAAGCGCUUGUCCCAGGUGAGAGCCCUCCUUACCCAAAAGCCCUUCCAAAGUGCUGCCUAUGAGAACUUGAACCAUCCUCCCCCUUUUUUCUCCCUUUUUAUUUUUAGGAUGUUGGGAGCAUAGUAAGCAGGUAUGUAGAAACUGGUCACUUCCCCCCCUUGUCACCCCACCUGUGGAGAGGCAUUCAAAUAUCCCUCGCACAGCAUCCCUCUCUGUCAUUUAUCUUCCCAGCUGUAGUGAAAUAAGGCUUCACUUCCCCUCUGGGCUCCCCAUGGAGCUUGAGAAGAGCCUGAGCUCCUGCUGCUGCCAGCGGAAUGAACUGCGAGAGGACCUGGAGGAGUUCAGAGCCCUUCCGGCGACACCUGAUCGCCGUCCCGCGAUGCAGGUCUUUCAGCGACACGACGCGACAAGUCACUCCCUGGCGCGGCUUUCAGAGACUCGCGGGAGGCAGCACACCUCAGCGCAGCCCCGCCACCACCGGCUGCCAGCCUGCUCCAGGGUGGCUUUCCUGCGGCAGCGGUGGGCUGGGCUUCCAUCCACCAAGAAAAAAACAAACCCAGCUACAACGCUACAAAUUGCCCCAGGAAGUGAAGUGGUUGGAGUGCACGUGGGCACCGAGGCGCUGCGGCUCCAAGAGCUGUUUUAUUACCCCUUCCCCGCACCCGCCAAGAAACCUUAAGUAAGAUAAAAGUAUGUUGCUGAGAACACAGCUGCGCUGGGCAGGGCACGUCUCCAGGAUGAAGGACCACUGCCUCCCUAAGAUCCUGCUCUAUGGUGAACUUGCCACCGGCUGCCGCAAGAAAGGAACCCCGAAGAAAAGAUACAAGGACUCCCUGAAACAACAUCUCAGCCUUGGCCAUAUUGAUCACCAUAACUGGUCUACUCUGGCCUCAAAUCGGGAGGCCUGGAGACACACCAUCUGUCUCCUUUGAGAACACACGCAGGAUCACUCUCGAGGAGAAAAGGCAAUGCAGAAAGAACCGUGUCUUGCAGAAUACACCGUCUAAGGAGUCUUUCUGCUGUGCCUUUUGCAAUCGGACAUGUCUGUCUCGUAUUGGCCUCAUAAGCCACCAACGUGCCUGUAACAAAUGUGGAUAGAGCCUUCCCGAAUCUUCAUUCGUGAAGCCCAGCCAUGAUGAUGAUUAUUCUAUAGAAAGGAAACUUUCAGCUCCAAGACCCUCCUUUGGUUCAGUUUCCGAUUAAUUUUAUUGCAAAACUUCAUUAACAUUACUCCCUCCUGGAAUUUCUGCUCUAACACCAUCUCCCCCCACAGAUCCUGAAUAUAGUAGUUUUUUUCUUCCCCCCCCUUUGUUUCUUAUUUUUGCCAUCCAAUUUGGGUGCUGACGGACAAGGCUGGGUUUUUAUUUCACCCUAACAUCGCCCCCGCCCCUCGUUCCCCAGCUGAUAUCCACAUGAGCUCCAUGGACCUCUGCUCACUUGCCACAUUCCUAUUUUAAUCCCUGUUUCCUACAGCCACCCUCUGGCCGCAUUUUGCUUCCCCCGCUGCAGCCGGAGUGGCAAAAAUUCGCCUUGUAAAUAACUCAUCCCUUCUAACGCCCUCCCGCUCCGCCCCCGCUGUCGCCGCCUGUGUUCGCUUCUGUCCUCUCAAAUCCUUGCUGGCCUUGUCCCUGGAGGCGGUUUCAUCACUGGGGCAGUGGGAAAAUCGGGUCAGCCCUACGUCGCU